CUGUUUCUUUCUUACUUGGACUCUCCACUCUUUCUUCGUAUCUGUUUCUUCGGCGAGUCUCGCUCUCUCUCUCUCUCUCUCUGAAUUUGCGAUGAUUAUCUAGGGUUUCGUUCCUACGCGGUUUGUUUUGAAAGCAAGUUUAUAAUCUGAUCAUCGCUCCCCCCGGUAUCUCUCUCGCUCGAUCCAAUUGCAUCGAAGCUUUUAGGGUUUGGUUGUAAUAGAAGCGAGUUUAUAAUCUGCAUUCCUCCCUACUUGUGGAAUUCUCUCCUUCUUCUUCUAGGGUGGAAUUGGAUCAUUGUCUCUUGUUGCUAAAGAUGGAAUUAUAUUGUCUAUUAUGGUAACGUCAUAUAAUUUGAUAAAGAUGCAGCAGAGGACCGAUAGAGAGAGAGAGAGAGAUUCAUGUUUUGGACGAUGCUUUUAUAUCAUCCUCACUCCUCAGCUUGCUUAUGGAGCGACGUGGUUCUGGAGAAAGGUACAUUUGAUCAUUAACAUGAUGACAAAUCUGAUUUUGGAAACGAACGAUUUGUUUUAAGCUUGCUUAUGGAGCGACGUGGUUCUGGGGAAAGGUACAUUUGAUCAUUACAACAUGAUGACAAAGUCUCAAGUCUGAUUUUGGAAACCAAUUAUUUGUUAAAGUUUGCAGCUUGCUUAUGGACCGACGUGGUUAUGUGGAAGAGUACAUUAAAUCAUUACAACUGUUGAUGCAAAUGAUGCUGGUGUGUUUUUGGUAGCAAAUUUAUGAUUCCAAUCAUUAUCGCUCGCCCACGCUUCUGAAUUUUCACUCCUAAGUCCUACGCUUUUGGACGAUGCUUUUAUAUCAUCCUCACUCCUCAGGCGUUCUCAUGGGUUAAAAUAUGGCUUGGAGACAACGCAGCAUCUCUUUUAUCUGUUUCUCGGAUCCUAGUUUUAAGAAUGCUAACUGUUACUAAGGGUCUCAGUCUGAUUUUGGAAACCAAUUAUUUGUUUUAAGCUUGCUUAUGGAGCGACGUGCUUCUGGAGAAAGGUACAUUUGAUAUAUUACAACAUGAUGACAAAGUCUCCAUCUCAUUUUGGAACCAAAUUAUUUGUUUUAAGGUGCAGAGCAUACUUCAGAUCUUUGAUUUGAAACUUUAUCUUAAGGUUAAAAUAUGGCUUGGAGACGAGGCCGGAGAUCACUACUACUAUGUUCUCUCUCGGUUCCAAGUUUGCAGAAUGCUAACUGUUACUAAGAUCCUAAAUCAUAAGAGGCUAUAAAGAUUUCUCUUAACCUCCACAAGCUUCUUAUCGACAACAGUCUUCCCGAUGUGUCUCAAGUCUGAUUUUGGAAACCAAUUAUUUGUUAAAGUUUGCAGCUUGCUUGCUUAUGGACCGACGUGGUUAUGGGGGAGAGUACAUUAAAUCAUUACAACUGUUGAUGCUGGUAAAGUAAAAUGUCUUGGUGGACCAGAACGUAAUGGAAGUGUUACAGUUGUUGACGUUCACCUGCAGGAGGAGACUUUUCAGAUCCUGUUACUUCUGCACCCUUAUUAUUUUGCAGGUCUUCUGGGUUUUGGACAAAAAGCGAGAAAACAUUUUCCCUCUGUGAAUUGGUUGAUUUCCUACUAAAAAGUAUUCAACGGCAUUGGGAUCUUUCUAUGAGAAGUUAGGUCCAGAUAUCAUCAACAUCAGGAAAAAAGGCCAGAGAGGUGUUGCAGAGGGAAGACGAUCUUAAUGAAAUUGGCCAGGAAAAGAUGCGCAAGCAGAAGGUGACAAAAUCAUCUUGGAAACAGAUUGUGGAGGAUGCUUUGCUCGGUCAGUGAUGGUUCUGAUGGAUCGUUGUCUUCUUCUCUGCGCUAUAUUUAGACCGUCCAGGCACUGGGAUUAAUGUGUGGGAGGGUUCGAAAUGAGAAACAUCAGGUUAACAGUAAUGUCCCUGAUCUUCCUAGUGAGCUAGCAUCUACGUUUCAAGCCUAAUAUCUUGUUGUUUCUUUUAGUCGAGGUUCUAAAAGAGAGAAGUGUAAGAUUCUCUUGCUUGGACAAUUAUUUUUCCGCCCAAGAGGAGGGUAACCAAGCCAUGGCUGCCUGUCUCGUUUCUGCUAGGCUAUUGCCAGGGUCUUCUUUUGGAAUUACUCCUCAACAGCUUCUCAAAGGAUCUCAACAAGCAGCAAUAUGGAUGGGGAGGUGGUGCAAAAACCAACAGCUUGUCAUAAUGUGAAUGGAUCACAACAAUUGUUCUCAGCAGCAAUAUGGAGUGGCCUCAAGGAUUGUCAAAUACGCUCUAGACUAGCUUGUCAUAAUGUCACAACUCACAACAAUGGCUCCCUGCAGCAAUAUGGAGGGAUUGUGGAGGAUAAUGCUAUGAUGAUUGAUUGGUGAUUGAGGAGGAUGCUUCUAAUAUAUGUCGGAGGUGGUGCAAAAACCAACAGCUUGUCAUGAUGUGAAUGGAUCACAACCAUUGUUCCCUGCAGCAAUAUGGAGGGCCUCAAGGAUUUUCAAAUACGCUCUAGACUAGCUUGUCAUAAUGUCCCAACAAUGGGUUCCCUGCUGCAAGAUGGAGGGGAAUACUAGGAAAGGCAUCAG